CGCCUCUUGUUCUUCAUAAGAGGUCCAGCCUGCCCAGUGACUCAGUUCAACGGCCGCGGUAUCCUAACCGUGCGAAGGUAGCGUAAUCACUUGUUCUUUAAAUGAGGACUAGUAUGAAUGGCAUCACGAGGGUUACACUGUCUCCCUUUUUUAAUCAGUGAAACUAAUCUUCCCGUGAAGAAGCGGGAAUAUAAUUAUAAGACGAGAAGACCCUAUGGAGCUUUAAACUAAACAGCAAUUGUUAAAUAUUACCACCCUUCAGAGAAAUAAAUUCUACUUUAACAUAAUGCUCACCAGUUUUCGGUUGGGGUGACCACGGAGAAUAAAACAACCUCCGCGAUAAAAGAAACUUAAUCUCUUAACCCAGAAUUACGAUUCUAAGUACCAAAAAUUUGAUAUACAUUGAUCCAAUUUAUUGAUCAACGAACCAAGUUACCCUAGGGAUAACAGCGCAAUCCACUUCAAGAGCUCUUAUCGACAAGUGGGUUUACGACCUCGAUGUUGGAUCAGGGUAUCCCAGUGGUGCAGCCGCUACUAAAGGUUCGUUUGUUCAACGAUUAAAACCCU
rnacentral:rRNA from 1 species